AUCUGCCACAAUUUAAAACACUUACUCAGGUGCCUGCUCAGUGCCUAUGCACUAAGUCAAAGAGGCACAGGCCAGCUGUCCAGAAGCGGCCAGAAACGCUGGAACUCACCCACACAAAGGAUAAACAAGCAGCUGAGCAAAUUCUGAUAGAAUGGUAAUGUCAAGCAAAUAAAGAGAAUGUAAAUGAGGAACUGGUGAGGAGGCCACCCUUUGAGAAGAUGGAGGUGAGAGGGGAAAGAGAGGAGUUAGCACACGCCAGGCAACGGAGUGGGGGUAAUCACUCACUCUGUCUCUCUCCAUCAGUCUGGGGUUGCCAGGGUCUUUGAAUGGCAGAGAAAAGAGAGUGGAGAGAACUGGGAUGGGGGGACACAGGGCCCUGGCCCUCAGUGACUGCUCCCCAAAGGCAUUAAUUAGAUAUCACUGCAAAAUAGCAAAACCAGAGUAAAACCUCCCCCAGGACUUCACUCACACAAUGACCAGGCUCUUUCACCAAGCCCUCCCAGGUCCCUCCCUCCCUGCUUUUACAUCUUACAUAAGGAGGCUUCUAUUGUGCUAAUAUCCAAGGAAAAAAGUGACUAAGGGUGAGUGUGCGACUAAGGAAAAUAAAGAAGGAAGAGAGCCUCCAAGGCUUGCCCCCACCCCCAGUUUCUUGGCUCACUCCACGAUUCCGUCAGUUCGCAGGCUCUGACAUAAAAGGCAGGAAGCUACACACGCUAAACAAAGCUCCUUAGAUGUCAGGAAAUUAACCUGGGAAAUCGGAGCCAAGAGAGAUUAAAGGCAUUGCAGGCCGAGUUCAAAAACCUCUAUGGCGUUACAUCAAAAGCUGUUUUCUGGGCACCCCAGGCUCGGCUCUGCCAAACCGUACAUCCCGAAAAACCUGGCCACAGGGCUGGCACGCCUGUGUGGUGUGCCUUUUCCCUGCCACAGACUGAAGCCUCACUCAGAUCUACAGCUUUUGACUCUUCCUGUCAUAGGAGUCUAAGCCCUGCCUGCCGUAGGCAAGUCUGCCCUGAGAAGAGCAGCUUGCUGCCCUGGAUUCCUUAUAAAGGAGGAAGAUCGCACACCUAACCUCAGAGGGGGUCCAAUGAGUGGCCCCAGGGAAAGGAAGAAAGUCCUUAAAAGGAGGAAGAGACCUGCUAGCUUCAGCUGCACUCAUACACACACAAAAAAAAAGAGAAAGAAAGGAAGAAAGGAAGAGAAAGAAAGAAAGAAAGGAAGAGAAAGAAAGACAGAAAGAAAGAAAGAAAGAAAGAAAGAAAGAAAGAAAGAAAGAAGGAAAGAAGGAAGGAAGGAAGGAAAAAAGAAAAGAGAAAAGAAAAAGAAAAGAGAAGAAAAGAAAAGAAAAAAAAGAGAAAAAGAGAAAAGAAAAGAAGUGAGGCAGCCUGGGAUCCCUGACCCUCCCAGCUAAGAAAACAAACCGCCUUGUGGAAGGUGAAAGGGUCAGAGCAGAACAAACCAGAGAAUUGUGAGAAUCAUUGUUUAUGUCCGCAUCAAUAAUACUGUCUCUUUGAGUCUCAGUUUCAUUAUCUUUACAAUGAACGUAGCUUCUAGCUAAGAUAUCCUGGAAUUCUUGAACAAUCUUAACAUUUAAAUGGAAUGAAAUUGUCAGCAGGCUUUGUACAACACUCGUUGUAUCUCCAGCAGUGAGUGCUAACCCCCUCUUACAGAGGAGAAAACUGAGGCCCCAUGUCACAUAUCUGGUAGAGAGAAGAGCCCAUAAUGAACUAGUGGUUCCUGGCCCCGGUGAUUCCGGGCCCAGUGCUCUAGGAGGGCAAUGGUGGAACAAUAGUAUUGUUCCUAAACUGCAUCAAAGGACAUUUGCAAGAAUAAGCUCAAAGUGUUGCUAUUCCUGUUUUUUUUUUUUUUUAAUUGGAAAGCAAGUGAAGGUCAGAAGGGAGCCAUUUAUUGUACCAGCCUUUUGGGAAAUGAAACACUCAGAUAUAUAAGCCCCAUGGUGGCCUCAUAAAGAGUGCAAAAAUCUCUUCUCAAGUCUAUAAAAGUGAAGUUAGUUCUAUUAACUGGAAAGGAAAUCUGUGAGAGAAUGUGACUCAUUUGUUCUCCACCCAUAAUACCUUCAAGAACCUGCCCUGUCCCUAAUCUGAGUGGGGUGGCUCCCAGAGGCCACAUGAUGCCCCUCCAGGGCUGAUGGGGCCACAGUCACCCGGCUGAGAGAAAAUCAGAGUCACUCUUCCACAGGAAUUCUACUGAGACUUAGAGAGUACAGCCAAGGAAUCUGUGAGCCUGAAUCCAUGCAACGGCUGUAUUAGUAAAAGCUCCUCCGAGGAACACAGUCAAUAGGAUGUAGUUCAUUGUGUAUAUAUAUAUAUGAUAUAAAUAUGCAUCAUGUGUGUGUGGGAGGGGGAGAGAGAGAGAGAGAGAGAAAUUUUUUAUUAAGAAUUGAUUCACAUGCUUAUGGAGGUUGGCUACCAAGUCCCAAGAUCUGCAGGUGGCAAGCUGGAGACCCAGGAGAGACCUACCCGAAAUCCAAAGGCAGGAAAAAAGGCAAUGGCUGACAGGCUAGGGGAAGUCUCUCUUCCUCAGGGGAGGGUCAGCCUGUUUGUUCUAUGCAGAGCUUCAACUGAUGGGAUGAGGCCCACCCGCGUUAGGAAGGACCAUCUUCUUCACCCAGCCUGCACAUUCACAUGUUCCUCUCUUCCAGAAACACCCUCACAGACACCUACAGAAUAAUGUUGACCAACUCUCUGGGUACCCCAUGGCUCAGUCAAGUUGACACAUAAAAUUAACCAUCAUCAUCACAUAGACAGGGGCCAGGUCAGCACAGCCACAGCAGCAAGGCAGAAGGAGGCAAGACUGAGUGAGGAGGCUGCAGGGUUGCUGGGAAAGCUAGCUUCAAGAGAGGAACAUGGGACAUUCUCAGUGAGAAAUGGAGAUGAGAGACAGACAGGGGUACCAGAGACUGGGAGCCUUUCCAGUGCACAAGAUUCCCCUUUAUCCUUCCACUCCCCAGUUCUAAACUGAACUGCUUUGAGUGGGUUUCUCUUUUGGAUAACUGAACAACCUCUGAUUAGAACAAGAACAUCGUGGAUCUCCUUGAAUUUUAUUCUCUAACUUUAGCCCAAUUCUCUAAUUUUAGACCAGCCAUUUAUCAAGCAAUAAACUAUACUGCAUGUCAUGUACUGCCAGGUUAAAUACCACAUACUCUUCGUUCUUAGAUCAUUUACAUUUAUGGUUUUGACUUCUUGCAAGCAACCACGUGCUUAAAAUAUUUCCAUGAGGGUUUGAUAAAGUAUUUUGAUCUGUAAGGCUUAGGUUUAAUGAGUGAGCUACUCAAUUCCUGAGGGGUCCCAUCCAUCUGCCCAGCAUCCACAUCAUCAUGCCUUUUUUGUUUUCUACUCACUGUUCUUUCAGCAUUUUCUGGGGGAUGUCAAAUGUUAAGAGGUUUUCCUUAAUUUGAGAAUGUGUGACGGCCCAGUCUGAAUGCCUUGCAAAAAGCAUAGGUCUACUAUACAAUGUUACUGACAUAACUUUUAGAAAUCUCUGUCUCUUCUCCUAUGAGCUCUUUGAAGGACAUGACCCAUGCCUUACACAAUUUUGUGGCCCUUAUACCUUGAAUACAGUACCUGGGACCUCAUAGGCAAGCAAUGCAUUUUUUGGUUAAUUCUCUCAAAUAGUUCUCAUAAAAAGCCCACCAAGUAGAUCACAUUAUUCCCUGUUGCAUUAAUGUGUUUAAACUAAGCGAUGCUACAACAAUGUACAACCCCAAAAAUCUAAGCAUUUGCCUCAACAAAGGUUUGUUUCUCACUCAUGUCACACAUGUAUGAUGGGUCAGCUACAGCCCUUGUCCAUGCCUUCUUUGCUCCAGGACUCAGUAACAGAGAGAAAUGGAGAUAGCAGAACCACAAUGUCUCUUAAAGCAUCUAUACAAUAGUGGCACAAUUCCUCAUACUCACUUUUGCCAGCCAAAGUAAAUCUCACAGCCAAGCCUGACGUCAAUAGGGCAGGGAUAUAUAGUCCUUCGCCAGCAGGAGGGAGGGGUGCCAGAAAUCACAUGGCCACACCUAGUACAAUGCGACAAGGAUGCAUAAUCUUCCCCCAGAGACAGCAAAAUGAGAGUGCUAGUACUACACAGCACACCGUCUCCUAAAGAAACUGAGGGGAAGCAAUCCGCCUGAUCAAGUAGCUCAUUAGUGGCAGAAUCAGCCUUUAAACAUCGUCAGACUCCAGGUUUGAGGAUUCCUUCCAGCACACCACAGCUGUUUCUAGGUCUCACUCUGGGACAGAGGCACCUGCCCUGAUCCACGCUUUCUGCCACUCUCCAGGAAUAUUCACGUCAAGAUGUCCCACUCAAACAUUUGGCCCUUGAAUGUUUUAUUCAUAAGGAUCAUAUGUCCAAAGGAAUCUAAGCAAGCCAAGUCAGACAAAAUUAACAAGCGUAAAUUAAGGAAUGUAAUAGAGCCAACAUUGAAAUUCUCAGUAGAUGGAGUCAUUUAAAACAUUUUUUUAGUUUAACCAGACUGAAGAUCAAAAGGGGGUUGGUGGCACCUGAGAAGAACAAGAAGCUGUCACCACCCCUUGCCCCGGGAGCAGAAGAGAGAUGAAUGACAGCGCUGUCUGCUUUCAGCACUUCAGCGUGGCGUCAGCUGUGUCUCUCUGGCCAUUGGUCAAUUGCAUCCUGCAGUAGCUGGAGUGAGGGAUCUGGGGAGGACAGGGACUAAUGCCCAGGAAAAGCCUGGCACCAAUCAUUUCAAAAGGGUCUUAACCAUGACCUGUUCAGCAUUUCCAGAGUUAAUUAGUCCCAUCACGACGAACAUCACCCAGUCCCAAAUGGGCACCCUGGUUGCCUGUGGUAAGUGACUUAUUUAUUUGCCUCUCUCUGGCCAGCAAGUAGCUUUGUUCAAGAAAAAAAAAAAAAAAAAAAAAAAACCUGACCACAUACAGAUCCUCAAUCUAGAAAAGAAAUCAGAAUUCACUGUUUUUUCUGAAUCACUUAAUUUCCCUUAAGUUGAAUAGAUGACAUGUUUGGCCUUCAGACGGUGUGGAUUAUGAAAAGUCAAGCACUCUAACACUUGGCAGCAGAGGCUUCAUGGAAUACCUACUCCCCACCUCUGCCAAUAACAUUUUUAAGGAGAUUCGGUUUGAUUAAACUAUACAAGGUAAAUAAUGAAUCCAGCCUGCCCAGGAUAUAUCAGGUUGCAUAGUGUGAUGAAACACAUACCAUCCUGAAUGUUCUUCCAAAAGAACAUGUACAGAAAAUGCUGUCCUUCUGCCAGAAUACAGGCUCCUUGCCAACCCCCACCACUCUCCACCUUGAGACCAAACACUCAGCAAGCUGAAGCUUGCAGGCCACGGUGACUGGCUCCAUGCUGCCUUGGGAAGCCCUACAUGACCUCUACAUGGUCCUUCUUCAGUAUGUGAAGUACAGAGGCAACACCAGGACAUUUUGAAGGGCAAAAGAAGGUUCAAUGGGGCAAUUUCCAAGGCAUCUUGCUCCACUGCUGGUAAGCAAUUAGCAGGCUUUCUACAGGGACUUCUCAAAAGAGGAUCCAGAAGGCAGGCUCAGCAUUGCAGCCUGGCUGCAGGCCACAGUGUGGCAGACGCAUGUAUUCAUGGGCAUGUCAAAUACAUCACUUCAAUACGAAAUUCAUAGGCCCAACAUUCAUCUGCGAGAUUGAACACUGGGUAGCUCAAAAGCUAGUCUUCUGAAAGCAUCCUACAAAACACCCGAAGUUGCCGUUCCAGAAUUGCUAUAAUUUCACGACUGUGCAAGCUGUACUAGUAGUACACAGGCAAAGGGAUAGAAAAAAGAUUAUAUUAAUGCUCAAGGGGGAAAAGCAAGAUUAUAAAGGACUUAGCAGAGCUAUGUUCUGAUAAUAAACCAAGAGCAUUUAGGACCCAACCUAGAAAAAAAUGGAUUUACAGCCGAAGUCUUUCCUGUUUGGGGCUACAGCAUCAUUCUGUCAUUCUAACCACAUUUAUCCUGAACCUCCCCCCACCACCCGCUGCCCAUGUGCUGGCCACCGUGCUGGGAUCAACAAAACUGAAUGAGACACAGGACCUGAUACUGGGGAGCUGACCAUCUAGCAGGUGACGUAUGGAUGGAUGAAGCAUCUUAGGACAUCUAAAGAAAGAGAUCACUCCUCCAUACUGAUCCUAAAGUUGACCUCCAGAUAACAUUCUGUCACAUGCAUGUGCACCAGAGAUGGGGAGAACACACAGAAUGGGAAGAACCACAACUGUUUAGGUGCAUGAAUUCUACAAUUUGUAAAAACUCAUUGUUUUUCACCUAGUAUAUGUAAGAAUUGAAUAAUAACACAGAGAAAUAAAUUCUAGCAUUAAAGAAUAAACCAGAAAUCUCCUUAAAGGAACACAAGUAACAAAGCCUGGCAGGGGUGGGAAACAGCAGAAAUUACCACAUUUUGCUUGGAUCUUGAAAAUUGUGAAUUCUCAGUGAAGUCCAAUUUUCACUUUUUAAUAAUGGAGCUCUAUAACAUCUUAAAACUCUGGGUUUAUGUAUUUUUAUUAUCAACUCUAUAAAUUCAAUAAAGAAGUGGAGUAAAGGUUCAGGACAAGAAGAAGGAGAAAAGAACAGUUAAAAAUUUGGGAAAUACUAGCACUUCAUUCUUUACCAAGUUGUCACUCUAUCACUGCAAGCGUGAGGAUUGGUGAAAAGUAUUAAGCAGACUAAGAUUGCACCCCAGAGAGCCCAGGCUUAUACAACCAGCACACUUCCCCCACUAACUGACAUACUCAACUAAUAACUACUGAAUGUUGCCCAUUGGCCAGCCGCAUCCAACCCUUAUCCCACUGCAUCCUCAAAUCUGCCACCUUACAGAUGAAGAAAUGGAAAUGUAAACAAGUUAGGUGACUAAGAACAGAGUGUAAUGAGCAUCGUGGUUGACUCCCUGCCAUUCAUGCACAUCAUGCUAAUAUAAAGUAAUCAGGCUACAUGAUCCCCAGCCAAGAAUGAGUUCAAGAAUAUUCCUGGGACAUAUUUCUGCUGGAAGUCUCCCAGGGAAAGUUUCCCUUUCCUGAGAGCGGGCUCCCCAGUCAGAGAUCUCUCUCUUCUGGUCUAGCAACAAUGUGAAUGCAUUCUGCUCCCGAGGAGAAUAACACCGAGGAUGGCAAACAGGCAAGGGGGAAAGAUGGCAAGCGUCCUUGAUGACACCACUUAGCUGCCAACCCCACCAACCCACAGCUAGCCCAACUUCUGGACUUCGUGUUAUGAGAUAAUAAAUUUCCUAAGCAUCUGUGCUGGGAUGAGUCAGGUUCUCUUUCAUUUUCAUCAAAAGCAUCUUGGCUGAUACAAAAAGCCAGGAUCCAAACCCAGGUCUGUGUGAUUACCAAGAACCUACUCAUUCCAAGAGUUUUCUAGUCUGUCUCUGGUAUGCAUAAAGUCCCGAAGGGUUUCCAAGUCAACAGCUGCAGUGGUCCUGGAGUCAGACAGACUUGGACUAAAUCCCAGAUCUGCCACUAAUUAGCUGGGUGAUUGUGGGCAAAUUACCUCUCCUUUUUAUGCCUGUUACCUCAUCUGAAAAAUGGGGAUAAUCAUUGCACCUGCCACAAAGAGCUGUUUGAAGACCAAAGGAAAUUUCCACACAGUCGGUGCUCAGUGAUCAUUAGUUUUCAUGAGCAGGGGAACUGAAUGAUUUUUGGUGGCUAGAUUCUUUUGAUCAGAAUCUUUGUAAUGUUUUGAAUAGAGUAACAUUUACUUUCUCCUGACAUAUCACAUCUAUGCCAAAAUAAAAAUACAAUGUGGCCAGGCGCGGUGGCUCACACCUGUAAUCCCAGCACUUUGGGAGGCCGAGGUGGGUGGAUCACCUGAGGUCAGGAGUUCGAGACCAGCCUGGCCAACAUGGUGAAACCCCGUCUCCAUUAAAAAUACAAAAAUUUGUUGGGCAUGGUGGCAAUCUGUAAUCCCAGCUACUCAGGAGGCUGAGGCAGGAGAAUCGCUUGAACCUGGGAGGCGGAGGUUGCAGUGAGCCGAGAUUGUGCUAUUGCACUCCAGCUGGGCAACAGAGCGAGGCUCCAUCUCAAAAAAAAAAAAAAUGUUUUCUUAAUGUUUGGCCUUGUCUGAGCUUUUGGCUUUUUAAUUAGAAAAUGCCUCAUUCCUUAUUGAAAGAACACAUCAUUCAAAAAAAUAUUUGAAAUGUCACCCAUAGUAUCAUGCUACCUAAUUAAACAAUUUUUGUUUUUUGAUAUUACCUCUGGCAUGUAAAAUGCACAUACCUACAAUUAUAGUGAACAUACUGUUUUGCUUCCUAUUAUUUUCACUUAAAUUAUAGCAUAUAUUGACAUGUUCUUUAUAAUUAUUUGCCUUAAUAGCUUUAUAAGAUUGAUAUAAUUUACUAUAUAUUCCCCCAGGAUUAAUAUUUUUGACAUAAAUUGCUUUCUUAUUUUUUGUCUUAGAGAUGACGCAGCAGUGAUCAUUUUGGCUUAUAUAUUUUGUUUUCUGUGCAUUAUUUCCUAAAGAGAAAAUUCCUAGGCAUGGAAUUCUGGGUCUAGGGCUAUGAAUUGUCUUAGUGCCUCCUGCUACAUAAUUCUCUCCAAAAGGAAUGUUCCAGUUUGUCAUGUGAACUUAAUCUUAACUACUCAAGACUGAAAUUGAGUUCCUCUAAGCAGUUACUUGGUUUGAAAUAUCACAUGAGCCUUUAUACUUUGGGGAAAUCAGUAUUUUGAUUGCCUUGCCAUGGGUUUCAAGCUUUAUAAGUGAAAUUCUGCUUUCUUCACUUGAGGGACUAAAAGUUCCCUCUUGAACCAAUCAGUCUUAUUUUUCAAAGGCUGUGAACUUUUAAAAGUCUGUCUGGUUUUAUCUCCCUAUUUUUCUUCAUGACUCUGACUUAAUUAUCAUAGACCCCCAAGGAUGCCUAAAUGCCUCAAGGACACCAUUUUAAAUGGAUGAUCAAACCCAACUUCCUACUUCUCUGUGAGAGGCACAUUUCUAAUCUGGGAGUGAGUAGUACAAUCACUCUGUCCAGACGGAGUAACACCGGUUUCCUAUAGCAAAAGCCUAGGUCCUUGGAAAACCACUGACUGCUUCAUGAAUUCCUUGGACAUUAAUUGGUGAAGUAACUAAGAAAAAUGCACCCCACACAAAGUUUAUUGUGGACCCCUCCUCAUUCUCCCAUGCAGCAAAAACAACUAAGCUUCUUUUCCCUUUGAGCAGGACAGUGGGUUUGGCUGUGCCAGGAUGAGUCUCCCGGGGGUAGAGAAAGCCUGAGUAUUUUUCUCUGGUGCUAAAUUUACCUGACUCCAGGGCAGAUGCCUCCAAGUCAUAGGCAAGGGGGUUAACACACUUGGAUGCUCCUAAAGGGACUUUGUCCAGCCUGCUGUGAGGUCUUUCCACCUUCUCAUGUUUCUAACAUGACCAUAAAAUCAAAUCUAAAUGCAAACAUUAAAAUGCAAGGCACUAUGACUAGGUCUAGGGUAGUCAUUCAAGUGAUGUGGAGCAGGCUUAUGUUUUUUUCUCCCUCCAGAUUAUCAUAGACAUGGGAACACAACAUUUAAACGCCCUGGUAGAAUUUCAAAAGUAUGUCUAGAGAUCCUAAUGGAGUCACAAACCCCAGAUUAUGACACACAUCAAGUUCAAGGGUCUAGAAACUUUUUCUGGAAAAGGUCAGAUAGUAAAUAAUUUAGACUUUGGGGGCCAUAUGGUCUUUGUUCUAACCAAUUCUACCAGCAUGCAAGCAGCCAUAGGCAUUUGGUAAGCAAAUGGGGCACAGAAUUUUUUAUUUCUUGUAGAGACAGGGUCUUGCUAUGUUGCCCAGCCAUGUUCCAAUAAAACUUUAUUAACAAACACAAGCACUGGAUUUGGCCUGAAGGCCAUAGUUUGCCAAUCCCUACUCUACUUACUGUGUGAAUAAUAAGAUGGGAAGACCUCCUGACUAUCAGCUCUGUAUUCUUCCAAUUUUCAGUUUGUGUUUGGUUCACAUCUUCAAUGUAUGUCUUUAUCAUGGGAUUUAGAAAGUGGAUGUUCAUUCAACCAGGCAUAUAAGAUUUUUCGUUGCCUACAGUUCUGCUCUUAAUUAGCCCUAUCUCCAUUAAGUAUGACUCAAGACUACAUUUCUUGAUAACGUAGAUGAAAUUGGUUAAGAAAAUUAAAAACUGGAAAGAGACAGGCAAUACAAAUCAGUUUUCAAGAAUUUGUGAUGAGCAAUUGAAUCCAGCCUUUUCUUUGAGAUGUGAGCAGACUCUGUUUUGAAUGGCUUCUCUGCGGAUAAGUAGACUUGAAAGCAGGGAAGCUGUCUGAUGCAGCAGAGAGGUUGUGAUGUUGAGGUAAUUAUUGAUGCCACCAAUAUCUGCCUGUGUGACCUUUCCUUGCACAAGUUAUUUAAUUUCCCUGGGAUUUGGUUUCCCCUUAUAUAAAGUAAGGGAUUUGGAUUAGAUGAAUUGGAUUAGAUGAGUCCUAAAUCUGCUCAAGCUUUGAACAUUUAAAAUUUUGUAUCAAGCAAUCUAUGCUGAGAGCUUUACAACAUAUCAGAAAGCAAGCGAUUUAGAGAGAGUUCUGCCUCUUGUGAAGCUCAAAUGCACAUCCUACGAAGGCUUCUCACUUUGGUUUUCCCUAAAACCAGGACAUUUUAGUCAUCUUAGGAAUCUCAAUUAUUAUGAAAAGUUUCCCAACUUAACAGGGACAGAUUUUCAUAAACAUAGAAGGGUGGGGGUGUCAGAAAACUUUACUAACAGAAGGUACUUCAAAUGGAGAAAUAUAGUGGGUGUUUUAGUCAAGGUUAUCCAGGAAAACAGAACCAAUAGAAUAUAUAGAGAGAGACAUAUAUAAGAAGAGAUGUAGAAAUUGGUUCAUGCAAUUAUGGAGACCAAGAAGCUCCGUGAUCUACCACUGCAAGCUGAAGACCAGGAAAGCUGGUGGCAUAACUCAGUCAGAAGGCCUGAGAGUAGGGGGCGAGGAGGUGAGAAAGAGGAUGGUAAUAGUGUAAGUCCCUGUCUGAGUCCAAAAGACGGAUGUCUCAGCUCAAGCAGAGAGAGCAAAUUGGCCCCUUCUUCACCUUUUUGUUCUAUUCAGGCCCUCAAAUAAUUGGAAAAUGCCCAGGCAUGGUGGAGGGCCAUCUGCUUUAUUUUGUUCACCAAGUCAAAUGCUAAUUUCUUCCCAAAAUACCCUCACCGACUCACCAGGAAUAAUGUUUUACCAGCUAUCUGGGCAUCCCUUAGCCCAGUCAAGUUAACACACAAAAUUAACCAUCAUGGUGGAAGGAUGGAGGCAUCACCCUACAGCCAUAGUUCUGAAUCCUGUUUUGGUUUGUACCAGUCUCCAAUGGUUCAUUAACAGUAAAUACUAUGGCAAAUAUGCAAUGAAGAUUUUUUCAUUAAAUAUUUAAAUUUUAGCAUGGCAUUUGAUUUAUACUUUUCAAUUGAUUGGUCCUUCACAACCAUGGAUUCAUAGUUUAAAAUGAGGUCAUGUCAAAAUGGAAGAAUAGUGACUAUGGUAAACACAAUGACUCAGACUAAUCCAAGGAUUCAUAUUGACAAGUGGGCUAUAAAAAUGUAGAUACAUCAGCCUACCAUUUAGCCCAAUAUUAGCAAUUUAGUUUCAGCAAAACAUCACCUAACACAUGAAAUCAGUGUUGUUAACUUGAAUGUUAUUGUUGGUGUUGUCUUGUUUGUAUUUAAUUAGUGCAUUUUUAAUGGUUCUAUAAUAAACAUAACCAUAAGAAAUGUAUGGCUACUUUCA
rnacentral:lncRNA from 1 species